rnacentral:misc_RNA from 1 species
GAUGAAGAACGUAGCGAAAUGCGAUAAGUAAUGCGAAUUGCAGAAUUCAGUGAGUCAUCGUAUCUUUGAACGCACAUUGCGCCCUGUGGUAUUCCGCAGGGCAUGCCUGUUCGAGCGUCAUUUCAACCCUCAAGCUCUGCUUGGUGUUGGGCCCUGCCCGCUGCGGCCGGCCCUAAAGACAGUGGCGGUGCCGCCUGGCCCUGAGCGUAGUACAUCUCUCGCUCCAGUGCCCGGUGGUAGCCUGCCAGAACCCCAACUCUCGUGGUUGACCUCGGAUCAGGUAGGGAUACCCGCUGAACUUAAGCAUAUCAAUAAGCGGAGGA